rnacentral:rRNA from 1 species
UUUUUAUGAGAGUUUGAUCCUGGCUCAGGACGAACGCUGGCGGCGUGCCUAAUACAUGCAAGUCGUACGCUUCUUUUUCCACCGGAGCUUGCUCCACCGGAAAAAGAGGAGUGGCGAACGGGUGAGUAACACGUGGGUAACCUGCCCAUCAGAAGGGGAUAACACUUGGAAACAGGUGCUAAUACCGUAUAACAAUCGAAACCGCAUGGUUUUGAUUUGAAAGGCGCUUUCGGGUGUCACUGAUGGAUGGACCCGCGGUGCAUUAGCUAGUUGGUGAGGUAACGGCUCACCAAGGCCACGAUGCAUAGCCGACCUGAGAGGGUGAUCGGCCACAUUGGGACUGAGACACGGCCCAAACUCCUACGGGAGGCAGCAGUAGGGAAUCUUCGGCAAUGGACGAAAGUCUGACCGAGCAACGCCGCGUGAGUGAAGAAGGUUUUCGGAUCGUAAAACUCUGUUGUUAGAGAAGAAUAAGGAUGAGAGUAACUGUUCAUCCCUUGACGGUAUCUAACCAGAAAGCCACGGCUAACUACGUGCCAGCAGCCGCGGUAAUACGUAGGUGGCAAGCGUUGUCCGGAUUUAUUGGGCGUAAAGCGAGCGCAGGCGGUUUCUUAAGUCUGAUGUGAAAGCCCCCGGCUCAACCGGGGAGGGUCAUUGGAAACUGGGAGACUUGAGUGCAGAAGAGGAGAGUGGAAUUCCAUGUGUAGCGGUGAAAUGCGUAGAUAUAUGGAGGAACACCAGUGGCGAAGGCGGCUCUCUGGUCUGUAACUGACGCUGAG